UACGGAGGAUCCAAGCGUUAUCCGGAUUCAUUGGGUUUAAAGGGUGCGUAGGCGGAAUGAUAAGUCAGUGGUGAAAGCCCUUAGCUCAACUAAGGAACUGCCAUUGAUACUGUCAAUCUUGAGUACAUUUGAUGUGGGCGGAAUGUGUCAUGUAGCGGUGAAAUGCUUAGAUAUGACACAGAACACCGAUUGCGAAGGCAGCUCACAAAACUGUAACUGACGCUGAGGCACGAAAGCGUGGGUAUCAAACAGGAUUAGAUACCCUGGUAGUCCACGCUGUAAACUAUGAUUACUCGAUGUUUGCGAUAUACUGUAAGCGUCUAAGCGAAAGCGAUAAGUAAUCCACCUGGGGAGUACGCUCGCAAGAGUG
rnacentral:rRNA from 1 species